UCUGGUUGAUCCUGCCAGUAGUCAUAUGCUUGUCUCAAAGAUUAAGCCAUGCAUGUCUAAGUACAAACCUUUACACGGUGAAACCGCGAAUGGCUCAUUAAAUCAGCUAUGGUUCCUUAGAUCGUCUCUUCCUACUCGGAUAACUGUGGAAAAUCUAGAGCUAAUACGUGCUUACAAGCCCUGACCUCGCGGGAGGGGCGCAUUUAUUAGAUCAAAACCAAUCGAGGCUUGCCUCGUCUGCUUGGUGACUCUGGAUAACUUUUGUGCUGAUCGCAUGGCCUCUGCGCCGGCGACGUAUCUUUCAAGUGUCUGCCCUAUCAACUUACGAUGGUAGGUGAUAUGCCUACCAUGGUUAUAACGGGUAACGGGGAAUCAGGGUUCGAUUCCGGAGAGGGAGCCUGAGAAACGGCUACCACAUCUAAGGAAGGCAGCAGGCGCGCAAAUUACCCACUCCCGGCACGGGGAGGUAGUGACGAAAAAUAACGAUACGGGACUCUUUAGAGGCCCCGUAAUUGGAAUGAGUACACUUUAAAUCCGUUAACGAGAAUCUAUUGGAGGGCAAGUCUGGUGCCAGCAGCCGCGGUAAUUCCAGCUCCAAUAGCGUAUAUUAAUGUUGUUGCAGUUAAAAAGCUCGUAGUUGGAUCUGAGGACUCGAAUCGUCGGUGCAGUCAACGCUGUUACUGUUGAUUCGGCCUACCUAGUCGGUGCUCGCUCUUGGUGUUCUUAAUUGAAUGCCCUGAGUGCCCGACAUGUUUACUUUGAAAAAAUUAGAGUGCUCAAAGCAGGCCAUUAGCCGGAAUACUUCAGCAUGGAAUAAUGGAAUAGGACUUCGGUUCUAUUUUGUUGGUUUUCGGAGCCCGAGGUAAUGAUUAAGAGAGACAGACGGGGGCAUUCGUACUGCGGUGUUAGAGGUGAAAUUCUUGGAUCGCCGCAAGACGAACAACUGCGAAAGCAUUUGCCAAGAAUGUUUUCAUUAAUCAAGAACGAAAGUCAGAGGUUCGAAGACGAUCAGAUACCGUCCUAGUUCUGACCAUAAACGAUGCCAACUGGCGAUCCGAGAUCGUUUGCUAUUUGACCUCUCGGGCAGCCUCCGGGAAACCAAAGUCUUUAGGCUCCGGGGGAAGUAUGGUUGCAAAGCUGGAACUUAAAGGAAUUGACGGAAGGGCACCACCAGGAGUGGAGCCUGCGGCUUAAUUUGACCCAACACGGGAAAACUCACCCGGCCCGGACACUGUUAGGAUUGACAGAUUGAGAGCUCUUUCUUGAUUCGGUGGGUGGUGGUGCAUGGCCGUUCUUAGUUGGUGGAGCGAUUUGUCUGGUUAAUUCCGAUAACGAACGAGACUCUAGCCUGCUAAAUAGUACGCCGAUAUCCAUUUUGUCGGUGCCGACUUCUUAGAGGGACAAGCGUCUUGAAGAC
rnacentral:rRNA from 1 species